rnacentral:rRNA from 1 species
GACGAACGCUGGCGGCGUGCUUAACACAUGCAAGUCGAACGGUGAAGCGCCUUCCUUUUUGGUGGGUGUGGAUGAGUGGCGAACGGGUGAGUAACACGUGAGUAACCUGCCCCCUUCUUCUGGAUAACCGCAUGAAAGUGUGGCUAAUACGGGAUAUUCUGGGUCUGUCGCAUGAUGGGUCUGGGAAAGAUAUUGUUUCGGUGGGGGAUGGGCUCACGGCCUAUCAGCUUGUUGGUGGGGUGAUGGCCUACCAAGGUGGUGACGGGUAGCCGGCCUGAGAGGGUGGACGGUCACACUGGGACUGAGACACGGCCCAGACUCCUACGGGAGGCAGCAGUGGGGAAUAUUGCACAAUGGGCGCAAGCCUGAUGCAGCGACGCCGCGUGAGGGAUGGAGGCCUUCGGGUUGUGAACCUCUUUCGCCAGUGAAGCAGGCCUGCCUCGUUUGUGGGUGGGUUGACGGUAGCUGGAUAAGAAGCGCCGGCUAACUACGUG